rnacentral:hammerhead_ribozyme from 1 species
AUUCAGCUGACGACUCUCAAACAGGACGAAACGCACAUCUUGGAU